UAGCGGGUAAAAUAAUACAAGUAUCCGA
rnacentral:sRNA from 1 species